GUUUUAACAAGAAGUGCCCAUAAGCUGCCUCUGUGCCACAGUGUAAUUAUCAAAUAGCCCCACUUGAAUUUGAAAGCCAUUUUGUGUGAUACUGUCCUUCCCCUUGCUGUAUCUUAUUUAAUGGAGUUAAAGAGUGACUAUUCAGUAUAUGAGAUUGCUACUCUUAAAGUUAUAAUAAAUAUGCAUUUAUGAAACAGUGUCUCUGGCUCACCCAGGAGCCCUGAUGUGGUAAUACAGGAUCAAGCUGUAGUUGUGCCCUGUCAUUUAGGUUUAGGAGUUUAGUGUAACCAACAGUGAUUAUACCUAGAAAUAAAGCUGAGUGGAGAGUCCAAUUAGCUUCUCAGGAGAAACUUAAUGGGGACAAUAUUCCAACACAAUGUUCCACAAAAACUUGUAUUUCCAAAAUGUUUUUAAACCUUUGUGGAAAAAUUGCAACAUCCUAAUCUCCAUAUAUAGUACAUUUUCCUUACUGUAUUAUAAAAUCUUGAAAACCUAGCUUAGGCACUGCACUGAACAACACAUAUUAUUUUUAUCUUUUUUCUUCUCAAUGCCUUCCCUAACCUCCUGCUUAUUCCAAAGUGGAAAGCAAAGGCUAACUUACAUUUUUCCUUCUUGUGAAAUAUUUCAUUGAGAUUUUUAGACUUGUAUUUUUCCUUUUUUUUAAAAAAAAAGUGUUUAUUUCCUUUAUUUUAAGAUUCAGUAGGAUAGCCAAAUUCAUAGAGAAUAAAAUUACAUGAAAGAGUUACAAGCUCACUGUUUUAAAGACUUGACAUUUUUCAUUUAGUUUUAAUUAACAGUAAUAAGUCACCUCCUGUUUUUCAAUGUUCACCAAAAAAAGAAACAUAGAAUAGGGGGAAAACAUGCUUAUAUAGCCAAGGUACAGAUCCAGAUGAUGUAACCUUUUUAGUAUUCGCAUGACUUGAAAACUGGGCAGAUCAAUAGAUAAUCGAAGUGCUUUAUCUGAAGGGAGAGGGUAAAGACAGUGUGACCAGGUUUGUUUUCAGGGCUGCCGAAUGAGCCUCACCUAACAGUGUCCAUGGGUAAUUCGCUAACCUUAACAAAGAUGGGAAGAAGUGAGUGCUCUGAUGUCUUCUGCUGGCUCUCCAUAAGUACUGUAAAUUUUUUUUAUAAAUAAAAACUGUGAAUAUAUAUGUACAAGUUGUAAGUAUUUCCCCCUUUUUAUUUUUGAAAAUCAAGAAGCUUGAUUUGGUGUGGUGCAAUGGAUAUUGGAUAAAAAUUUGAAGACAAAAUUGUUUAGUUACAGACUCAGGAUAAUAAAAGAAAAAUAUAAAAGAAUGCUCAAGAUACUGAAGUCAAGGUCACUAGUAAUAAACUGGCUAGGUUGAUAAACAAUUUCCUGCCCAUUUAUAAUGAAGGGCUAAACAAAAAAUACCUGAAGUAUAUAUAGAGUUUGAACUAUAAACACGGAAGGAAACAUGGGGCAGAACACACUUCCCUUCUCUUUCCAAAAACAAAAAACAAUGCAUGCUCUGAUUUGCGUAUGAAAUACACCAUGAUAGAAUUGAGAUCUCCAAUCUCCUUUCCUUUUAGCUUCCCCCUGCCAAUUUUUAUACAGAUAAUACACUGCAGAUCCAGGCCUUUUAGUCAGUCUCCUGAGUCUCUGAUAUAGUUUUACUACUUACAUAGGUUUAUAGUCUCUCCACAUUGUUAUAAAGGAAUGUAAUAGAUCAUGUUUCCUUAUAUGACAUUGGGACAGUUUGUUAGGAACCAAUAGGAAAAUUCCAAGCUAAAUAAAAAGGAGCUUUGGCUCUUAGGAUUCUCUUUUCUUCAGGUUAAUCAUAUUUUAAAAUUCUUUUUCAAGUUAGGUUGUUCGUGCUUUUAAGUUUUUUGUGUGUCUUCCAUCACUUAAAUAUUAGUAAUUUAAUAUGUUAUUUGGUUCAAGAUUUGAUUGUGGAUUUUCUAUCAUACCCAAAUUUUAUUAGUAAGACCUCUUAACAAGUCUUUAAAAUCAACUGGAGAAGUAAGAGAACAGUUCAUCGUUGUGUGGGUGAAACCCACGUUGCUGGUACAGGUGGCCAUCAUAGAAAAGAACAUGAGGGAAUUGUCCUGAUGUCUGAAUGUCAUUUAUUGUGUCUUCAGUUAUCUGAACAUCAUCAUCAAUUAUAGCCUGUGUACCGUAACCUGAGGUAGUGAUAUUCCUGAGGAGUGUGAAGAAUUGGACACUGUGGAUUACUAUACAUUGUCAUGAAAGCCUUACAAGGAGGCAGCUUUUCUAGGCUUGACUUAAUAACUUCAACCUAAUUGCUUAGAGAUUUGGAUAAAUAACCUAAUGGCCUGACUCCUUUUCUAAUGUUUUACUAACAGCUACUUCUAAAUAAAUAUGGUCCCAGGAUUUU
rnacentral:lncRNA from 1 species